rnacentral:rRNA from 1 species
AAGCAGUAAGUCUGAAGAGGAGUCAAAUGCUUCUUUUCUUAAGGACAAGCUGUGAUGGGGAGGGAAAUAAUAGUACCGAAGUUCCUGAUGUCACACUGCCGAGAAAAGCUUCUAGUGAGAAAACAGCGGCCCGUACCGCAAACCGACACAGGUAGUCGAGGAGAGAAUCCUAAGGUGAGCGAGAGAACUCUCGUUAAGGAACUCGGCAAAAUGACCCCGUAACUUCGGGAGAAGGGGUGCUGAUCAUACGAUCAGCCGCAGUGAAUAGGCCCAAGCGACUGUUUAUCAAAAACACAGGUCUCUGCAAAAUCGUAAGAUGAAGUAUAGGGGCUGACGCCUGCCCGGUGCUGGAAGGUUAAGAGGAGUGCUUAGCGCAAGCGAAGGUACGAAUUGAAGCCCCAGUAAACGGCGGCCGUAACUAUAACGGUCCUAAGGUAGCGAAAUUCCUUGUCGGGUAAGUUCCGACCCGCACGAAAGGCGUAACGAUUUGGGCACUGUCUCAACGAGAGACUCGGUGAAAUUUUAGUACCUGUGAAGAUGCAGGUUACCCGCGACAGGACGGAAAGACCCCAUGGAGCUUUACUGUAGUUUGAUAUUGAGUGUCUGUACCGCAUGUACAGGAUAGGUAGGAGCCGUAGAAAUCGGAACGCUAGUUUCGAUGGAGGCGCUGGUGGGAUACUACCCCUGCG